rnacentral:rRNA from 1 species
AUAUAGAUUAAGUUAUUAAGGGCGCACGGUGGAUGCCUUGGCACUAGAAGCCGACGAAGGACGUUACUAACGACGAUAUGCUUUGGGGAGCUGUAAGUAAGCUUUGAUCCAGAGAUUUCCGAAUGGGGAAACCCAGCACGAGUUAUGUCGUGUUAUCUGCAUGUGAAUACAUAGCAUGCAAGAAGGCAGACCCGGAGAAC